GCCUGGGUGGUGGAAUUGGUAGACACAUCAUCUUGAGGGGGUGACGUCGAGAGGCGUGCUGGUUCGAGUCCAGUCCCAGGCACCA
rnacentral:tRNA from 1 species